CUGGGUGUAAAGCGUGCGCAGGCGGUUAUACAAGACAGAUGUGAAAUCCCCGGGCUCAACCUGGGAAUCGCUUUUGACACUGCAUAUCUAGAGUGCGUGAGAGGGGGGUGAAAUUCCGCGUGUAGCAGUGAAAUGCGUAGAUAUGGGGGGGAACCCCGAUGGCGAAGGCACUCCCCUGGCACUAUACUCACUCUCAUGCGAGAAAGUGUGGGGCGCACACAGGUUUAUAUCCCCUGGUAGUCCACCCCCUAAACGAUGUCUACUAGUUGUUGGGUCUUACUCUCACCAGUAACGCAGCUAACGC
rnacentral:rRNA from 1 species